rnacentral:rRNA from 1 species
AGUGAACGCUGGCGGUAGGCCUAACACAUGCAAGUCGAACGGCAGCACAGUAAGAGCUUGCUCUUACGGGUGGCGAGUGGCGGACGGGUGAGGAAUACAUCGGAAUCUACUUUUUCGUGGGGGAUAACGUAGGGAAACUUACGCUAAUACCGCAUACGACCUACGGGUGAAAGCAGGGGAUCUUCGGACCUUGCGCGAUUGAAUGAGCCGAUGUCGGAUUAGCUAGUUGGCGGGGUAAAGGCCCACCAAGGCGACGAUCCGUAGCUGGUCUGAGAGGAUGAAAGGCAACAGGGGAACUGAGAAAAGGUCCAGACUCAUAGGGGAGGAGGAAGUGGGGAAUUGUGAAAAAGGGGAGAAAGCCUGAACCAGCAAGGCCGGGGGGGGAAAGAAGGCCUUCGGUUUGUAAAGCCUUUUUUUGGGAAAAAAAAAAAAGAGGUUUAAUACCCGGCUGUUGUGACGGUACCAAAAAAAAAAGAACCGGAAAACUUCGUG